rnacentral:rRNA from 1 species
CAGAGGUGGCAAGGGUUGUUCGGAAUUACUGGGCGUAAAGGGCUGGUAGGCGGCCAACUAAGUCAGACGUGAAAUCCCUCGGCUUAACCGGGGAACUGCGUCUGAUACUGGAUGGCUUGAGUUCGGGAGAGGGAUGCGGAAUUCCAGGUGUAGCGGUGAAAUGCGUAGAUAUCUGGAGGAACACCGGUGGCGAAGGCGGCAUCCUGGACCGAUACUGACGCUGAGGAGCGAAAGCCAGGGGAGCAAACGGG